GCGCUACGGACUUAAAAAAUCCGUCGACUUUAAAAAUCGUGAGGGUUCAAGUCCCUCUAUCCCCA
rnacentral:tRNA from 1 species